UACGUAGGGUGCGAGCGUUGUCCGGAAUUAUUGGGCGUAAAGGGCUCGUAGGCGGUUUGUCGCGUCGGGAGUGAAAUCAUCUGGCUUAACUGGGUGCUUGCUUUCGAUACGGGCAGACUAGAGGUAUGCAGGGGAGAACGGAAUUCCUGGUGUAGCGGUGAAAUGCGCAGAUAUCAGGAGGAACACCGGUGGCGAAGGCGGUUCUCUGGGUCUGACUGACCGUGCUGAGGAGCGAAAGUGUGGGGAGCGAACAGG
rnacentral:rRNA from 1 species